GUUGCAGCGCUUUCCGCUUCAGCUUUUCCUUCGUGUUCGCGCAGCGCUCUGUUCGCCGGGCUUGCGGCCAAAAGGCGGGUGGGAACGGGGCUGUGCGGCCGGGCGUGGCCUGGCCUGCUGCGUGCCCGGCUUCCUGCUGCAGGCUGAGCUGUGGAGAACCGCGAGCCCCGCGCUGCCUGAGCCCGUUCUGUGCUGGAAGGGAGUGGGAGAGCACAGGGAGAGCGGAGGCAAGGAGAGCUGCAGGCUGGCAUGACGUCCCUGCAAGGUAGCAGCAUGCCAGCACUGUUUCCUGGUACCUGGCACUUCCCCGUGCAGGGUUUGAAAAUACGCUGUCUCCAGGCUGAACAAAUGCCUAGUUUCACUGGGCCCAUGUGAGAACAUCUGAUUAGGAAUUCUCAUCUGAAGAAGGUAUAAAGUUCCCAGUGAGAGCUGAAUACAUGUGAAGAGAGCAGCAAAGUGUGUGCAUCUCCAUCAAAUUUCUGUAGGCAAGCAUUUUCAUGACACUUUCAACUGGUUUUCACAGGUGUAUUAAAGAUAAUAAAGACUUAAAGAUACGAAGCACAAUUUCACAUUCUUGUUUGAAAGAUGGACACAGAAGUAUUAUGCAGAUGGUACUUGAACCAUAUACCUUGGCUUCUAACCUUUCCUGUCUUUUUGUUCAGUCUUAGUUAUGAUUUUACUAUGACAUAUAUUGAAUAUGCUCAAAUUGAUGUUAACUUCUAUUGUCACCAAAGGAGGAAAUGUAAAAGCAUGAAUAGUAACACAGGAAGAUUGAGCUGUUGGUUUGUAAUGGUGAUUUUGCCUUAGUAUGCACGUUUGUCAUGUUGAAGUUCUGUGAGUUUAAUCGCUGUGUGAUAAGAAGAGGCAGCUUGUGGACAGGAUAUUAAACCUUGAUUUCUAUCAUACCAAACAAUUGCUGUAUCUUCAUCACUUCUUAAAACUAACAUCCUUUCCUUUCAGGUUGAUGCGUCCUACUGUAUUAUUUAAGACUUGAUUAUUAUAGUUGAAAUUGUUUGGGUUUUUUUUUAGUGCAAAACUGUGUACUUAAAUGACUAUAUUUCAUCCAUCUUCAUUGUGACUCUGCGUCUAACUUUCUGUCUCACAAACUGCUCAGUUGAUGCUUUCCUGGCCAGGUUUCCAUGUAAACAGGGUGAGCACACAGCCAUGUAACGUGGCACCAAUCCAAUUGCAGGCAGCACGCAGUGCUUGGAAAGACCUGUUACCUGGUGUUCAUCGUGAGAAGGAGUCGUCCUCACCUGUGAAGCCUGGGGUCUUGAUGGACAAGUUGCUGAUCCUCCUCACCUGUGUCAUCUGAGUGGUUUAGAGGUGAAUAAAAUAUGAUGGUCUAUAUCAGAAAAGCACUGGAAGUUUGGCUUCAAAAUUAUUUAUAACUGAUAUCUAUUGAAGGUGUGGUCAGAGCAGCUAUCAAGAUGCAAAUAUUGAUGGUAAGGAAUGUCCGUGUGCAUGGGCAGGUGUGCAGGCUCUGCUGGGGGCUGAGGAAGUGAUGACUGUCCUUGAAUAGUUUUCUAACACAGAAACACUAUAAAGAACUACCACCUCACUCUCAAGAUUUAGAAGGCAGAUGCAGGUGAUGUUUGUAGACAAUAUCCUGGAGGCAGCAGAGGUAGGAGUGCUCCUAGACAUGAAGAGUUUAUUUAAUCCCUUG